rnacentral:rRNA from 1 species
AUUGAACGCUGGCGGCAGGCCUAACACAUGCAAGUCGAGCGGAGCGGCGGACGGGUGAGUAAUGCCUAGGAACCUGCCUGGUAGUGGGGGCUAACGUCCGGAAACGGGCGCUAAUACUGCAUACUAUCAGAUGAGCCUAGGACGGAUUAGCUAGUUGGUGGGGUAAAGGCCUACCAAGGCGACGAUCCGUAACUGGUCUGAGAGGAUGAUCAGUCACACUGGAACGGAGACACGGUCCAGACUCCGACGGGAGGCAGCAGUGGGGAAUAUUUGACAAUGGGCGAAAGCCUGAUCCAGCCAUGCCGCGUGUGUGAAGAAGGUCUUCGGAUUGUAAAGCACUUUAAGUUGGGAGGCGUUACCAACAGAAUAAGCACCGGCUAACUUCGUGCCAGCAGCCGCGGUAAUUC